UAAGUACUCCCUUCGUCCGGAAAUAUUUGUCUUAGAAAUGGAUAUAACAAAUGUAUCUAUAACUAAAAUAAGUCUAGAUACAUUCAUCAUUAGGACAAGUAUUUUCGGAGGGAGGGAGUAGAUU
rnacentral:pre_miRNA from 1 species